rnacentral:miRNA from 1 species
UCAGGCAGUGUGGGUAUCAGAU